UGGGGAAUAUUUGACAAUGGGCGCAAGCCUGAUCCAGCCAUGCCGCGUGAGUGAUGAAGGCCCUUGGGUUGUAAAGCCCUUUCACCGGUGAAGAUAAUGACGGUAACCGGAGAAGAAGCCCCGGCUAACUUCGUGCCAGCAGCCGCGGUAAUACGAAGGGGGCUAGCGUUGUUCGGAUUUACUGGGCGUAAAGCGCACGUAGGCGGACUAUUAAGUCAGGGGUGAAAUCCCGGGGCUCAACCCCGGAACUGCCUUUGAUACUGGUAGUCUUGAGUUCGAGAGAGGUGAGUGGAAUUCCGAGUGUAGAGGUGAAAUUCGUAGAUAUUCGGAGGAACACCAGUGGCGAAGGCGGCUCCCUGGCUCGCUUCUGACGCUGGGGUGCGAAAGCGUGGGGAGCAAACAGG
rnacentral:rRNA from 1 species